GAAACCAACAGGGAUUGCCUUAGUAACGGCGAGUGAAGCGGCAAAAGCUCAAAUUUGAAAUCUGGCACCUUCGGUGUCCGAGUUGUAAUUUGAAGAAGGUAACUUUGGAGUUGGCUCUUGUCUAUGUUCCUUGGAACAGGACGUCACAGAGGGUGAGAAUCCCGUGCGAUGAGAUGCCCAAUUCUAUGUAAAGUGCUUUCGAAGAGUCGAGUUGUUUGGGAAUGCAGCUCUAAGUGGGUGGUAAAUUCCAUCUAAAGCUAAAUAUUGGCGAGAGACCGAUAGCGAACAAGUACAGUGAUGGAAAGAUGAAAAGAACUUUGAAAAGAGAGUGAAAAAGUACGUGAAAUUGUUGAAAGGGAAGGGCUUGAGAUCAGACUUGGUAUUUUGCGAUCCUUUCCUUCUUGGUUGGGUUCCUCGCAGCUUACUGGGCCAGCAUCGGUUUGGAUGGUAGGAUAAUGACUAAGGAAUGUGGCUCUACUUCGGUGGAGUGUUAUAGCCUUGGUUGAUACUGCCUGUCUAGACCGAGGACUGCGUCUUUUGACUAGGAUGUUGGCAUAAUGAUCUUAAGC
rnacentral:rRNA from 1 species